rnacentral:rRNA from 1 species
UGGGGAAUAUUGCGCAAUGGGCGAAAGCCUGACGCAGCGACGCCGCGGGAGGGAUGAAGGUUUUCGGAUCGUAAACCUCUGUCAGAAGGGAAGAAACCGCACUGUGCUAAUCAGCAGUGCCUUGACGGUACCUUCAAAGGAAGCACCGGCUAACUCCGUGCCAGCAGCCGCGGUAAUACGGAGGGUGCAAGCGUUAAUCGGAAUUACUGGGCGUAAAGCGCACGUAGGCUGCUUUGUAAGUCAGGGGUGAAAUCCCACGGCUCAACCGUGGAACUGCCUUUGAUACUGCUUAGCUUGAAUCCGGGAGAGGGUGGCGGAAUUCCAGGUGUAGGAGUGAAAUCCGUAGAUAUCUGGAGGAACAUCAGUGGCGAAGGCGGCCACCUGGACCGGUAUUGACGCUGAGGUGCGAAAGCGUGGGGAGCAAACAGG